AACGAACGCUGGCGGCAGGCUUAACACAUGCAAGUCGAACGCAUCCUUCGGGGUGAGUGGCAGACGGGUGAGUAACGCGUGGGAACGUGCCCUUCAGUUCGGGAUAACCCAGGGAAACUUGGGCUAAUACCGGAUACGUGCGAGAGCAGAAAGAUUUAUCGCUGAAGGAUCGGCCCGCGUCUGAUUAGCUAGUUGGUGGGGUAAUGGCCCACCAAGGCGACGAUCAGUAGCUGGUCUGCGAGGAUGAUCAGCCACAUUGGGACUGAGACACGGACCAACCUCCUACGGGAGGCAGCAGUGGGGAAUAUUGGACAAGGGGCGCAAGCCUGAUCCAGCCAUGCCGCGUGAGUGAUGAAGGCCUUAGGGUUGUAAAGCUCUUUCGUCCGGGACGAUAAUGACGGUACCGGAAGAAGAAGCCCCGGCUAACUUCGUGCCAGCCGCCGCAGUAA
rnacentral:rRNA from 1 species